UGGGUAUCGAUUGGUGAGUUUUUUUUAUUGAUGCAAAAGCACUAAUAGCAGCAGUUUGUGGCUUUCGGCAUCUACCCAUAACCGUUACAAGCUCGACAUACGCAACCCACAUCCAUUCGAGUUAGGCCUGAGUUACCGGCACCUAAACGAAGUCRAUUUUGCGGUGUUGAAUCAAUGCAAGGUUUAGGAGCGUAGCAGGGUGUAAGUAGUACCAGGGGGGUGUGUGCAUUGUUGUGUKCUGAUAGAAAUGGUUCUUGCUGACUGUUUUUGUGUAAACAGGACCCUCAACUGUGGUGAUGACGUGGAGGAGGCUUGACAGGGGGAGGACCACUAGCUGCGUUUUUGUCUAGGAUAUCUGAAUUGUAGUUUCAUUGCUAGGAGCGUUAGAGACUUAUUGAUGGUGGUGUACUAGAUAUUGGUUUUGACUCACGGAACGUUUUUCUUCUUUUUGGGUGAAUCGUUGUUUUUUUUUAUUAUUUGAGUCUCUGGUGUAUUUUGGGUUGUUGGACCAAUUGAUUGUUCCUUUUCUCCUAUUGGAUUACUAGCCACUGAGGCAGACAUACGUUCUUUAGGUAAAA